rnacentral:rRNA from 1 species
UACGAAGGGGGCGAGCGUUGUUCGGAUUUACUGGGCGUAAAGGGCGCGUAGGCGGCCACCGCAAGUCGACUGUGAAAUCUCCGGGCUUAACCCGGAAAGGUCAGCCGAUACUGCGGGGCUAGAGUGCAGAAGGGGCAACUGGAAUUCUCGGUGUAGCGGUGAAAUGCGUAGAUAUCGAGAGGAACACCUGCGGCGAAGGCGGCUCACUGGACCACAACUGACGCUGAUGCGCGAAAGCUAGGGGAGCAAACAGG